rnacentral:rRNA from 1 species
UACAGAGGUCUCAAGCGUUGUUCGGAAUUACUGGGCGUAAAGGGCGCGUAGGCGGUUUGCUAAGUUGAAUGUGAAAACUCUGGGCUUAACCCAGAGCCUGCAUUCAAUACUGGCAGGCUGGAGUUCUGGAGGGGAUAGCGGAAUUCCUGGUGUAGCGGUGAAAUGCGUAGAUAUCAGGAGGAACACCGGUGGCGAAGGCGGCUAUCUGGACAGAAACUGACGCUGGAGGCGACGAAAGCUAGGGGAGCAAACAGGA